GUUGACCCAGGGUGAUAUCUAAAACCUGCAGGACACUGGCCCUUGAGGCCUGGAGUUGCCUACCCGUGCACUACACCUAGGAACCUCAUCUGAGAUCUUCCUCUUGUCCUCCCACCUAGCAGCUCCAUCUUCAUCCUUUGUCCAGUGUAUCCACUCUCCUUUGACUUUGAGCUAUCCCUCUGAUGGACUCAUUUCUAAACCUCUAAAUCCUGAUGCUUAAAAUUAAAUCUAGCUUAGGUGAGCCUAACCAUACUGUGGAUAUCCUGCUCGAGCAUGCUUGCCUGUCUUUAUACAAUACCGUCUGCAGGCAUCCCUGGAUGUUUCAUGUCUGCUGCUACUGGACAUGCGAAACCUGAAGUGCUCUUUACCUGGGUCUUCAUUGGCCUACAAUAGUCAUCUGAGGCCUGCAAGCUGAUGUAGGUAUGGCUGAUUCGCAUACAGUUAAGGUAAGGAGUCAAAGUUUGUCUUCCCCCUCCUUACCCCCUCGGCUAGCCAAGGAAGAUGGCCGCCUGCCCUCAGCCUGCUCCUGUUGAAGGUGUCUUCCUGUUGGGGAGAAUUUAGCCCCCUGCUAAGACCGGGAGUACACGGGAUCACUGGCCUUCUCUCUACCUUCCACCGCAAAGUGCUGUGCAGUUAAAUGUGCACACCUGUACACACAGCACGAGCCAUCUGUUGCUGUGACACACCGCCCAGCCCCCCCUGGUCCACCAGGCUUUAAGGUGGAGUAGCCCAGCUAGCCAAAAAACGUGCCCCAAUGCUUCCAGCUGGCUCUAGCUUAUCGAUCCGAGCUCCGCGUGAAGGACCGCGCUACACGCACACAAAGGCCGCGGUGUGCCCGCUGCUCGGAGCCGCUCACCAGCCUACCUACACGCGAGCCUCGGUGGACUGUCCCAUAGAUAAACGGGUUCACAUGGCACGUUAGCUGGCCCUCUCCGGAGCCAAGCUGCGGAAACUGAGCGAACACACGGCUCCCAAAGCGAGGCAGGGCGAGCGGCGGCCGCAGCACGUGUCCCGGCCGGCCACCCCUCCGCUGCUGCCGGAGAGAGCCCCGCUAGCAGCUCCGAACCGGGACCGAAGGGUGAACCAAACACGAAAUUCAUGUUUAAAUAAUUUAAUUUAAAAUGUGGGGAUUAAACGACAAAAUGGAGCGGAAAAGGAGGCAGUCACGACCGAGCCACGGCUAAAAGAGAGCUACAUGUGGGGGGUGGCUAUAUCCUGGAGACCAAACAAUCAAGCCGGUAGCUGUAUUUCGACUUUUUCCACGCAAUAACAGUUAUUACACCAUCCGAUGGCAGUUGGAAAUACUCAGAUACUGUAAUUUGCAAGUAAUACACCAUUAUGUAUAAUUAUACUCUUGUUACAAUGUCAAUAGGAUCGCUAACAGCAACUCCCAGUCUACACCAGGAUGUAGACGGGGCCUGGAAGAGCGAUCCAGUUAAUAAAAAAACCCAGGUGAUAUAAACUAAUCACACACAGAAAUGUUGGAUUAGAUUACAAAGAAACGUAACUUACCACCGGAUGAAUUAUUUUGGGGAAAACUGCGCUUUACAAACAGGAAGUGUCUAAGAGUCACAGCAGCGGCUGCCUGAUCGCUAACGGCUUCACAACGUGCCGAAAUGCUUAGUACCGGCCUUGGCUCCACAACCGAACAUGAUAUUCUGCCCGCCUACGCGACUGCUACCCAAUCAAAUUCACGCACUGCGACUUAUUCACCAAUAGUUGAACGUGACUGCAACGGCCCCUUACGUACAGCCAAUCCGGAAGCGUCUCCCCCCCUGCCUGGGUUCACGGAGCGUGCCAAUAACGUCACAGUGUCAGUUGACGGUACGAUGGUUUCGCGAACAGGCGACUGCCGUUUUAUUGUUAGCUCGCAGUGCACCGUUGCUUACCCCCGCCUGAGGGCGACAAAGGCUUUUGUUGUCGAACCUGGGAGCGAAUGACUCAUCCAACCAUGCGGAUUUUAAUUCAUUUUAAGCGGCCUAAUGUGAUAAAAGGAGGCCGUGGGACUGAGACAUAGGCUUCACUCUUUUCAGAUCAGAAGAAGCUGGAUGCAGCCUGCUUUAGGACUGUUAAACAAACUAAUCCAAACUCAAGAUCCAAUGUGGGGCUUUUCUGCAGCCAUAACCCUAAUCUCACCGAAACAAG